UCCCAUUACGCUCCCGCGAGGCCGGUCUCUUGCGCCAACCAAAAGAAACAAAAUGGCCGACGGUCGCGAGGAAGUCAUUCUGGCGUUUGUGCCCAGCCGACCAAUCAGAAGCCUUACAGGUGACCCAUCACAUUGAAGUUAUGUCACAGCCAGUCCACCACCUUCCAACGGGCCACCCCACCUCACCAAUGGUGAUGUCCAUUUCUGAACGUAGUGGUGCCCGCCUGACCUAAAUGGAACCGGAUUGGCUCCUCUUCCAUUUUUUUCUGCCCCAAUAUUUAAACCUGAAGCACUUUGUGGGCGUUGAACGAUCUCAUUUUGGUUGGGGUGAACUUUAGGCACAUGCCUGGACAUGCCUGACCAACUGAACAUGAGGUAAUGUACUGUUGGGUCAUGGAUACGAGUGGACACUCAACCACAGCGGCCUCUGUGGGCCUAAUCCCCAGACCGUCUUUGGAUACACCAAUCAGAGGAGAAGUUGAAAUGGACUACUGUGCACUAGUGUGUCUCUAUCCUCCUAUAACUAACUGACUGGAUACAUGGACAGAAAUGGAGGGUGUGAGAUGUGUGUGUUCUGUGUUGUGAUGGUACACUGUCUUCUCUGAGACGGCUCUACACACAGCUGUGUCUGUCACAUCUGCAAUACAUUCGACACGGGUCGGCAUGCUGAUCUGUUCAUGUGUGCUGGUUUGUCUAAGUACAUACACCCUGAGUCACCCUCACUCACGCGCGCGCGCACACACACACACACACACACACACACACACACACACACACACACACACACACACACACACACACACACACACACACACACACA